UACGUAGGGGGCAAGCGUUGUCCGGAAUCAUUGGGCGUAAAGCGCGUGUAGGCGGCCUUGUAAGUCCGUUCUGAAAGCCCGGGGCUCAACCCCGGGAGGCGGAUGGAUACUGCAAGGCUCGAGUACGGAAGAGGCGAGUGGAAUUCCCGGUGUAGCGGUGAAAUGCGCAGAUAUCGGGAGGAACACCAAUGGCGAAGGCAGCUCGCUGGGACGUUACUGGCGCUGAGACGCGAAAGCGUGGGGAGCAAACAGG
rnacentral:rRNA from 1 species